GAAGUCAGAACUUGAAUAACAGCUCUUAAUGGGGCUAGGCCUAAUUGUGGAGCUGCAAUACCAUAAUGACAGUGUUAGCACCCAAAGCUCAGAGAGAAGACCUACCUAUCUCUUUGGCUAAUGGAAACAAAAAAAAGGAGCCGAUAUUGUCUAAAGAACUAAGUUACAAACAACUUUCAAACAAUCAUAACCACAUCAACUUAUAAUAAUACAACCAAAUGGUCAAAGACUACUGCUACACAGAGAAGAUGCAAUCUGGAAAUCAAGAAUAAAAAUUAAGUAUCCAAGAGAAGAGGGUAUUCAAAUCAGGAACAA
rnacentral:lncRNA from 1 species